rnacentral:misc_RNA from 1 species
CAGAAAAGAAAAAUGGUGAUUGAGUUGAAGUAUAAAUAGAAGCAGAGAAUGGCAAAACUUUUAAGCAGCAGCAGAAGCAAAAGCAGACUCCCUCUCCACAGCUUNNNNNNNNNNNNUCCUCUUCCAACACCAUCUGAACAGGCAAAAAACCCAACCCAUUAGCCAUGGCCAGCAUCAUCUGCUUGGUCUCUUCUUUGAACUCCUCCAAAUCUACCCUCCCAUUCAAAUCAUGAUCAAACUGUUCAAACAGAGAACCAUAAACUCGAGCCAGCUCUUCUGGGUCUCUCUUCACAUCGAUCCCAAAGUGAGUCUCGAAAACCC